UUACAGGUAAACUGUGCAGAUAGUUAUUUUUUUAAUCUAUAUUUAAUGCUCCAUGCAUGUGCCGCAAGAUUAGAUGUGACGGGGAAUCUGAAAAAUUUUGCAAAACUUUUUGGGAACUUAGUAUAUCUGAGUCCAGCAAGAAGCAGGGAGUAUGAUUUUCUCCGUUCACACUGGAUUAGUUUGUGUACAACUCAAGUCAGACUUGAAGUUUCUCUGUUGUCUUCACUCUUCAGUAUAUGCAUGUCUUGAUAUCUCAACUGUUUCUAUAAUUAAAGUCUGCAAGGAAAUGAUAUGCUCAAACUGUUGAUUUUGCAUAGUUUCUCAGUAUCUCUUGUAUCUGAGGUCAAUAGCUAACGUCCUUUCACUCCUUUGUAAUCCUUACAAGUUAUAUGAGUUGGACCAACUACAGUAUUACAAUUACAAUACCAGAUUUACCACUAACCUUUGUAGUCACACUUGUUGACUUGGUGUUGAUUGACUAAGCACUAUGGAGGUCAGGCCUUAAGUUGCAUAUUUAUAUAACUAAUAUAUCAGUAGAAGCUUUAUACAGCUGUCAUGACAAACUAAACAGUUUAUUUCCCCUGAUAGUAGUUCCAUAGGACAUAAAUUUGUUUCUUUGUAUUGUUUGAGUGCACAUGUGCAAAUGACAGAUCUACACUACUAUCUUGUUGUUUACUUAGUAUGCAAUUAUCUGUUUCUGCAAACUGUUGUGCUUGUUUGGUCUUUCAUAACCUUUAACACUAAGAUUACACCAAAAUCAUUUGAAAUCAUCUCUUGCUUGCUGGUACAAUAUAAACUAGUCCUGGCCGGUGUGAGCUACUGGCUGGACUUCAGUGACUUAGUUUGGACUUGUUUUGAAAUGGUUGGUUACCAAUACCACUGGGUUUUUCUUUUUUUCCCCUUGUAAUACGCCUUAUGCACUUUGAAGAUUAUACAGUAAGGACAUGUUUGGAUUGCGCCCUCCCAGGCAGCAUGAGCACCAGGCAGCCUUCUCAGCCUCAGGCGUCCAAAAUCAGAUGCCUGGGAGCUAGUGCAGUGCUAGGCAAAGCUUCCUGGUACACAAUUAAACAGCCCCUAACUGUCGGUCCUAAUGGCUAAAUAACAUUUUUUGGAUGGUUGGUCACUUAUUUGUAGUUCAUAUAGUAGAUUGUUGCUAAUGCAAUCUGUCAUGUGAAGAUUGACGCUGUCAUUCCACUACCUGCUGUGAUAAAUUGAAGGUUCAGCCUGCAUAUUGAAAAGUUUAAUUUGUUGAGCAAUCCAUGGUUACUCAACCCUGCUUAUCAUGCUGGCUGGAUCUGAUUGUUGUGCCAACUGGCAACUGAGCCAAUAAAGCCAUCGGACUUUUGGUGUGAUGUGGUGUCCUUUAUUUUUGUUACCAUUGUUACCACUGUAUGGUGGAUUUCUUAUAUGAUGAGAACUUGCCUUAUUAAUGUGAAGGUUUGAAAAAUCAAUUGUUCACAGUAUAUUUGAUCUAGAGCACUAUGGGAUUCAAAACUGUCAUGCAAGUAAUUUACUUGUUUGUGGUCACUUCUCCUUUUCAGGAAGAGCAAAGGCAAGGAAGCUUCUUAUGGGAUCAUGCAGGUGGGCAUGCUCGUGCUUUAGUUCAUCUUUACUUUAUUCACGCAUCUCACCUCAAUUAUAGCUACUCUGCAAUAUUGAAUUGCUUCCAAACAGAAUUGUAAGAUUCGUUGUCUUAGUUUGUUCUCUGGAGGCAUGAGGGGCAGAUCAAUAUUAAAGUUCUUGAACCUGUUGCUACUGUUGAAAUGCUAUUACAAAGUCUGAAAAGCAUCCACUGCUGAAGUUUCCUUUGUGAAUAUUGUAGUUGGCUGUCUCCACAACCUAAUGAUCUAUUGUAGGCUUUUGGACUUCUUCCAUUGGGGAACUUAAAGUUUCAUCCUCCACUUUUUACUCACAUAAAGUUAAACCAAAGUCGGUGAACAUAUAGCGUACAACAAGGAUUCAUCUAUGGUUUUAUUAACUGACAAAAAGGCUGGUUACUUUGAACCAUGAAUAUAUGUUUAUUAGGUUGGAACUUUGGAUGAGGAGUGAUUUCUUCACGAUGGGUUUUUUUUUACAAGAUUCACGAUGGGUUAUGCUUGAUCAAAUGAAUAAGGUAAGUAUGCUGAAACUGCAAGUUAAGCAUUCUUUUAUGUUUCGUUCUUAGUUUUAAUUGAGCUUCUUUAGAAUUCCGUUUCAUCAAAAUAUAAUAAUAUUUUGAGUUGUGAUAAUGACUAACCGGAACUAAGUCCGCAUCAAGAUCAUUAUAUUUUUAAAAUUUUCAGAAAUGACAGGACUUCAGUGAUAACUUUUACAGUUAAGGUCCCCAUACUGCUUAAACUCCCCACAUUUCGAAGUACCACUAAUAUACAAAGCAUCACCCAAAUACCAAAGCUCUGAAUCAAAAGACUGGCAUGUCUGUUGAGGUGAAUGUCGCAUUCCAGAGAGAAUCUCAUCACCUCCCCCAAUGGUUCUCUGCCCGCUUGUUCAUCUCCCAGGGGCCAAGUUUUCUUGGUAGUUGCAAGUAGCAUUUCACUGUGCUUCACAACUGCAGGUCAAAAAGCGUGGUGCCCCUGCUCAGACCUUGCCGUCACAGAGCCUCCUCUUUGUUGGAGAGGUUACUCGGCACGGUACAGCUGCUGCUGCACUAUCCAUCCGGAUCUUGCAUUGAGUUGACCAUCAUCACUGCUGCAGGCGUGCGUGCCGCACGCUCCCUGCAAGUGUAUGAAAUAUUAUACGCACAUCAACCAUUCCACCCAUCCAAGGAGGAAUAAACAAGCCAUUUGUCUGCUAAUUUCCCUUCCCGAGAAUCUACACGAUUCUUUAUGCAGGGACCAAUGCGUUCAUGAAGGGAGCCACAACCAUUAUGAUGGGCAUUCAUUUUCAACCACCUUUACCAGCAUACACUUUCAUCAUGGAAUUUGAUCAUGGCUGGAAUCUUUGGUUUCAGCAGGCUCAUAACUUGGUUUCAAGGAAAAUGCUCCCAUGGAAUUCUCUUUAUCUCCAGGUUUACAGGUUUGCAAGCUUCCUCCUCUUUGGUGAUUGAAACUGUUCCAAUAUGUAAUUCUCCUAGUAAUAUUUCAACCUUAAACACUACCCUGAGAAUUUGUGCUGCCUAAACUAAGGUGGUGCCAGGACUUCAAAGCUCUGGAGUCCUUUGUGCUUAAUUAACUAAUGUUUAAUUUCUAUUCACAUGGCACGCUUUUACCAAGUCCAGUCCAAUGCCGACAAAUUUUGCCAGGAAUGCGUCACCCCCAAUGUUGACUGCUAACAGUUGUUCACCCCCUCCACUGUUAGUCUAGGUCGUGGGCAGCACUAAUAACAUGGCACAGCAUACAAGUCCAAAGCCACAAACACCCAGAUAUACAAUAUACAAAUUAUAACAAGCCAGUCAGGGCAAAGCACUAGGCAGUAAAAGCCUAAAAGGUAUUACAUUACACUGUUUGAUAACCCUCUCAAGUUGCCCCUACUUUCAACAACACAUCUAAGUCAACACCAUGAUUCACUCUUGAUACAGGCGAAACCAUAAGAGCAGUAAAAUAAUUAAAGGAAACAAAAAAGAAACAAAAAAAA